CCUACGGGAGGCAGCAGUGAGGAAUAUUGGACAAUGGAUGGAAAUCUGAUCCAGCCAUGCCGCGUGCAGGAAGACGGCCCUAUGGGUUGUAAACUGCUUUUAUACGGGAGCAAUACGGUCUACGUGUAGACUGAUGAGAGUACCGUAUGAAUAAGCAUCGGCUAACUCCGUGCCAGCAGCCGCGGUAAU
rnacentral:rRNA from 1 species